UGUGUGUGUGCCAGUUGCAGCCUCCAAGUUGAACACCAUCACCAAAUCCAACCUGGGUCAGUGUGUCAGCAAGUACGACCUGCUGGUCUGGUUUGAGAUCAGCGAGCUGGAGCCCACUGGAGAGUACAUCCCAGCCAUCGUGGAUCACAGUGGAGGCCUGCCCUGUCAUGGUACCUACCUGCUGCACCAGGGGAUCCAGCGGAGGAUCACAGUGACCCUCAUCCACGAGAAAGGCAGCGAGCUCCAUUGGAAAGAUGUUCGUGAGCUGGUUGUAGGAAGGAGUUUGUGGAGGCCUAUGUGAAUCAUGCCUUCAACACAUCAGUGGAGAAUCUGUUCCAGGAGUUCAAGCGAGGCUUCUUCCUGGUGUGUGAGCAGGAUUUGGUGAGGCUGUUUUGACCAGAGGAGCUGCAGGGAGUGCUGGUCGGCCAGGACGUGCAUGACUGGGAAAAGUUCAAACAGAGGUGCAUUUGUGGUGUCAGACACUGACGUUGGAGGAGAAGGCCUGGCUCACAGUUGCUGCUCUAAUUCAUCC